AAUAAAGUGCCUGAAAAAAAAGAUUAUUUUGAUAGAAUAAAUCAUGUAUUUUAUACCUUUAUUA
rnacentral:tRNA from 1 species